GUAUUAACGAAGGUAUAAACAGUUUCAAUUAUAAAUGUAAUAACUAUAAGUAAAUAUAGUUAUUACAUUUAUAAUUGAAACUGUUUAUCCCUUCGUUAAUACGGU